UACGGAGGGAGCUAGUGUUGUUCGGAAUUACUGGGCGUAAAGCGCACGUAGGCGGUUUCUUAAGUCAGGGGUGAAAUCCUGGAGCUCAACUCCAGAACUGCCUUUGAUACUGGGAGACUUGGAGUCCGAGAGAGGUGAGUGGAACUGCGAGUGUAGAGGUGAAAUUCGUAGAUAUUCGCAAGAACACCAGUGGCGAAGGCGGCUCACUGGCCCGGUACUGACGCUGAGGUGCGAAAGCGUGGGGAGCAAACAGG
rnacentral:rRNA from 1 species